AUGAACGCUCGCGGCGUGCCUAAUACAUGCAAGUCGAGCGAACAGACGAGGAGCUUGCUCCUCUGACGUUAGCGGCGGACGGGUGAGUAACACGUGGAUAACCUACCUAUAAGACUGGGAUAACUUCGGGAAACCGGAGCUAAUACCGGAUAAUAUAUUGAACCGCAUGGUUCAAUAGUGAAAGACGGUUUUGCUGUCACUUAUAGAUGGAUCCGCGCCGCAUUAGCUAGUUGGUAAGGUAACGGCUUACCAAGGCAACGAUGCGUAGCCGACCUGAGAGGGUGAUCGGCCACACUGGAACUGAGACACGGUCCAGACUCCUACGGGAGGCAGCAGUAGGGAAUCUUCCGCAAUGGGCGAAAGCCUGACGGAGCAACGCCGCGUGAGUGAUGAAGGUCUUCGGGUCGUAAAACUCUGUUAUUAGGGAAGAACAAAUGUGUAAGUAACUAUGCACGUCUUGACGGUACCUAAUCAGAAAGCCACGGCUAACUACGUG
rnacentral:rRNA from 1 species